GUGGGGAAUAUUGCACAAUGGGGGAAACCCUGAUGCAGCGACGCCGCGUGGGCGAGGAAGUACCUCGGUAUGUAAAGCCCUAUCAGCAGGGAAGAAAACGACAGUACCUGACUAAGAAGCCCCGGCUAACUACGUGCCAGCAGCCGCGGUAAUACGUAGGGGGCAAGCGUUAUCCGGAUUCACUGGGCGUAAAGGGAGCGCAGGCGGCAUGGCAAGUCUGAUGUGAAAACCCGGGGCCCAACCCCGGGAGUGCAUUGGAAACUGCCAGGCUGGAGUGUCGGAGGGGUAAGCGGAAUUCCUAGUGUAGCGGUGAAAUGCGUAGAUAUUAGGAGGAACACCAGUGGCGAAGGCGGCUUACUGGACGACUACUGACGCUGAGGCUCGAAAGCGUGGGGAGCAAACAGGA
rnacentral:rRNA from 1 species